rnacentral:misc_RNA from 1 species
CUGUGAAUUUGCCACUGUUCAUGUGGUAGAAGAUGGUCCUACAAUUGUAUUACGCUUCUGUUGGCCAGCAAAUAUAGACCUGCCUUACCGGAUUGAGAACCACUUGGAAAAUACUUCUAUUACAUAUUAUCAGAAGGGUUUACCAGAGCCGGAGGUUUUGGCAUCUGGAAGUAUUGCUGGCUAUGUCUGGGAUGACCUGAGACUUGACCAUAAG